rnacentral:rRNA from 1 species
UACGGGGGGAGCAAACGUUGUUCGGAAUCACUGGGCGUAAAGGGCGUGUAGGCGGCUGAAUAAGUGGGAUGUUAAAUCCCCCGGCUCAACCGGGGACCUGCAUCUCAUACUGUUCAGCUCGAGCACAUCAGAGGAGACUGGAAUUCCCGGUGUAGCGGUGAAAUGCGUAGAUAUCAGGAGGAACACCUGUGGUGUAGACGGCUCUCUGGACCGCAACUGACGCUGAGACACGAAAGCGUGGGUAGCAAACAGG